GCUGGGUGUGGUAGUGCAUGCCUGUAAUCCCAGAGACUUGGGAAGCUGAGGCAGGAGGAUUGCAAAUUCAAAAUCAGUCUCAG
rnacentral:sRNA from 1 species